rnacentral:ncRNA from 2 species
UUCCGUCGAUCGGGAGAGACCGGCACCCUCAGGGAAGGCCGGCGCCGAAGGAGCAACCGCCCCGGAAACUCUCAGGCAAAAGGACCGAUCGACGAUC